UUUUUAAAAGACUCAGAAUUUCACCUGUGGAACAGAUAAAUGCAUCACCAGAUAUUUAUUGUCACUCUUGACCAAAGACCUUAGUAGGAAUAAGUAUGGGAGAUAAAAGACAAAACACUUAAGCACACCGUGCUUCUCCAGAAAAUUCAAUCAGAAAUGCAAGUCAUUGUGUUCCUUGGCAAAAUGUGUGCUGUGUUUCUACACAGCUAAGUACACAGUGGAAACAACAGGGUGGUGAUCCAGCAACAGUGACUGUAUAGUCUUUUGGGGAGAAAAAAAAGGAUAACCAGAUUCAUUUGCCUGUAGCCAGCCAUGUUUUCCUUGCCUGGGAUUUGUGAAAGAAGAGAUGAUAGAGCCUUCAUUUUUCACCUAUAUCAGUGCACUGAAAAUUUGACAGUGGUAUUGAAUGCAAGGAGAGAAAGUGAGAGCGUAGCUUGUAUACCUCAGCAGCUGUCUCAUUUCUGUAUUUUCUCCUUGAGUCAGUCUGUGUGGGCAAGAGGUUAUGAGGUCUUAAUAUCAGUGUUGUAAAGAUAACAUGAGCUAGAAAGGAUAUGUUAAAUAAGAAAAAUAUAUAUAUAAACCAGAGUAGAUUAAACUGUAUAAACAAGGAGAAUUAGGUGGACUACAUAGCUCUGAGAGAGCUACUUGUGAGUAAUUUGCGGUAUAUUCAACUGUUGUUUAAAAAUUACCAAAAAGAAAUCCUUCACUCUUGAUUUGCUAAGGUGAUACAGCCAUGACAAAGACCAAUAACAUCCUAGAGUGUGUGAGGGGAGGUAUUUUUAUUAAAGGAAGGCCAUUUAAGACAUUGUAGAAAGCUCUAGUGAAACUUUACCUGUAAUAUUGGUACUAGUCAUUUAAAAACUUAGUUCAACCUGGAAAAAGUACACAAAAAUAUAAGUAUGGAGAGUAGAGAAAUUCCAAGUCUUGUUUAUUAGAAUUUAGAUUUGCCUUUUGCUCAUCACAGUGUGGAAACAAAUAUCACCCAGCAGAAAAAUGGAAUGGGUUCUUUUAAGAGAAAGAUACAUCUUAUAUAUGACAGCAACACAGAGGCUGUCUUAAGCCACCUUGGAGACCCAGACUAACAUACUUGACACAUUUCACGAAAAAAAAAAAA